rnacentral:rRNA from 1 species
UACGUAGGGUGCAAGCGUUGUCCGGAAUUAUUGGGCGUAAAGAGCUUGUAGGCGGUUUGUCGCGUCUGCUGUGAAAUUUCGGGGCUCAACCCCGAACUUGCAGUGGGUACGGGCAGACUAGAGUGUGGUAGGGGAGACUGGAAUUCCUGGUGUAGCGGUGGAAUGCGCAGAUAUCAGGAGGAACACCGAUGGCGAAAGCGGCGCACUGGACCACAUCUGACGCUGAGGCGCGAAAGCUAGGGGAGCAAACAGG